UACGUAGGUGGCAAGCGUUGUUCGGAAUUAUUGGGCGUAAAGGGCGCGUAGGCGGCAUGUUAAGUCGGCUGUGAAAUCCUGGAGCUCAACUCCAGAACUGCCCUUGAUACUGAGGAGCUUGAGUCCGGGAGAGGUGAGUGGAACUGCGAGUGUAGAGGUGAAAUUCGUAGAUAUUCGCAAGAACACCAGUGGCGAAGGCGGCUCACUGGCCCGGUACUGACGCUGAGGUGCGAAAGCGUGGGGAGCAAACAGG
rnacentral:rRNA from 1 species